rnacentral:rRNA from 1 species
GACGAACGCUGGCGGCGUGCCUAAUACAUGCAAGUUGAGCGCUGAAGGUUGGUACUUGUACCGACUGGAUGAGCAGCGAACGGGUGAGUAACGCGUGGGGGAAUCUGCCUUUGAGCGGGGGACAACAUUUGGAAACGAAUGCUAAUACCGCAUAACAACUUUAAACACAAGUUUUAAGUUUGUAAAGAAUGCAAUUGCAUCACUCAAAGAAUGAUCCCGCGUUGUAUUAG